rnacentral:rRNA from 1 species
UACGUAGGGACCGAGCGUUGUCCGGAAUCAUUGGGCGUAAAGAGCGUGUAGGCGGCCUUUUAAGUCCUGCGUGAAAUCCUGCGGCUCAACCCGCAGACGGUCGUGGGAAACUGGAAGGCUAGAGUGCGGGAGAGGAGAGUGGAAUUCCCGGUGUAGCGGUGAAAUGCGCAGAUAUCGGGAAGAACACCCGUGGCGAAGGCGGCUCUCUGGAACGCAACUGACGCUGAGACGCGAAAGCGUGGG